rnacentral:lncRNA from 1 species
UAAGAAUUUAUGUUUCUAACACAAAUUUUAAUGACCAGUUUGGCAUUUAGUUCAGUAGGUUGGCAUUGCUCUGAAAGUAGAACCUGACUCAUUACCUGGAACUAUUUGAGAUACUGUUAAAUUUUGCAUUAACUGAAGUAUGAUGGUAAUUUUCACUUGCACUUUUGUGCAUUUUGUGUAUAGUCUUGAUAAGAUACACAAUGCUAAGGGGAAAUGAAGGCAAAAGGAUGCUACCCUUGAAACUACAGAUGUCUAAUGAACUAAACCCUGGACCAGCACUAGUCCUGAUGCCUUGGCAUGAGCUGCUACAUACACAGCCCACUGGCAAAGUCCAGUUUAGAUCUUUAUGAACCAGUAUUAUAUCUCAGCCAGUCACUGACGUGAAAGCAGGUCAUAAUGUCAUAUGCAAUGCAGACAACUAAUGCUCACUGCUGUAAGAAUUGAACUCAGCCCAAUCUUCAUCUGUCAAGUGGGAUGUAAUGUUCUUGCUUUUCCAAUCAUAAAAGGGCAGUUUGAUCGGGAACUCCUCCAGCAGAACUCUCUGUCAUGGUGCUUACCUGUGCCCAGUCGGUCUUGGGAGAUGAGGGAAGAAAACUUCAUCUAUAUUUUUGGUAAACUUCAAAUAAACUCUGAGUAAUAACAUCUCCCAUGAAAUCUCAGAAAAAUGAAAAACAGAAUCAGUUUAGUGAUCUGUGUCUGAAUGAAGCCCUCUCCCAGAGCAAAUUAAAACACUGCACAGCUGCACCUGAAUCAAUAAGCACCAACUCAGGCA